rnacentral:rRNA from 1 species
GAUGAACGCUAGCGGCAGGCCUAACACAUGCAAGUCGAGGGGUAGCAGGAUUAAGCUUGCUUAAUUGCUGACGACCGGCGCACGGGUGCGUAACGCGUAUGCAACCUACCUUAUACUGGGGUAUAGCCCGGAGAAAUUCGGAUUAAUCCCCCAUAGUACUAAUGAAUCGCAUGGUUUAUUAGUUAAAGCAUUGCGGUAUAAGAUGGGCAUGCGUCCUAUUAGCUAGAUGGUGAGGUAACGGCUCACCAUGGCUACGAUAGGUAGGGGGCCUGAGAGGGUAGUCCCCCACACUGGAACUGAGACACGGACCAGACUCCUACGGGAGGCAGCAGUGAGGAAUAUUGGUCAAUGGGCGCAAGCCUGAACCAGCCAUGCCGCGUGCAGGAAGAAUGCCCUAUGGGUUGUAAACUGCUUUUAUUUGGGAGUAAACCUCUUUACGUGUAGAGAGCUGAAGGUACCAAAUGAAUAAGCACCGGCUAACUCCGUGCCAGCCGCCGCGGUAA